rnacentral:lncRNA from 1 species
AUGUGGAAGUUUUUUUGUAUUCAAGUAAAAAAAAAAUUCACUUCUCUUACAGAUCAACUUCAUCAACAACUCAUGCCACCCACAAGUUAUUCCAGAGAGUUUUUUUUCUCUGACUCAACACCCCAGACCUCACCACUUCCCACAGGGGCUUCCGUUUUUCUUUCCCCUACCUUCUCCAGGAGGCUGAAACAUGUUCACAGCUGGAGCGCCAAUUCCCAGCAAGGCCCUGAGCCCCGCCACAGCAGGGGCUUAGGCUCAGUGGAGGAGAGUGAUGAGUGGGCAGAACAGAAGGUUGAAAGGCUUUCUCCUCUCUCCUAUGAUCAAACGAAGGUUUACAAGAGAACCCUGUCCACAAAAGACUCCAGAGAGCUAAGCAGCCCAAAGAAAACGGGGGAGACAUUUCCUAAAGCCAAAGAGCAACAUCACAGUCCCAAACAGGCUGAGAGUCAGGCACAAGGUGCAACGCUGAGCAGAAGCAGAAUGGCUUCGAAUGCAAAAACACAAAUGUUAAGAUCGGAGAAGCCUCAAACUGGACCGCAAGUGGAGCUGCAGCGCACAGAGCACCAACCAGUCUGUCACAGGAGAUUAAAGGAUUCCUCCAGCAGAGCGACUUUAGGAAAUGAACUUAAAAAUGGUGACAGAGGAAAUGUUCAGACCAGAAGAUACACAAUAGGAAGUGGAGAAAGGCCUUCUCUUGAUAAAGAAAGCUUUAAACGGAGAGUAGCGGGAGAAGCUCAUCCCCAUAGGACACCUGUCAUGAGACAGAGCGACAAAAGUAGACACAAAAACUCAGAGAUCAGAGAUGCUGAAGGCAAACGCAAGCCCGCGGAAAACCAGGAUACAAGUAAAAGCACUAGCAGCAAAAGAGAUUCAUUAUCAUUCUUGAAAGAUUUAUGGAGCAAGAAAGAUUCUGUGGUUACACCUAAAGAGGCAAAAGGAAGAGAAAGAACAUCCAUCUCCAAAGAAGACUUUGUGGCCUCAACAAACAGUAUUCCAGGGUCUCUCCAGACUACAAAAGGGCCUGCCAGCCCUCGUCCUUGGAAAGUACCCAGCUCUGCCAAAAUCCUAACCGAAGACGAAGUGUUUCGUGACCCUUUGUGA